GUCAUUCUUUAUUGACUUUCAAACUUCAUUCUUACUGAUUUUCUUCCAAGAAACUGCCAGUGUCAGUAUUUGUAUUUUGCUUUUUGACCCAUUUUAAGUUACUUGUAUGUUGUAUGAGAGUAGACCGAGGCCAGGAAGAAAUCAGAGCUUGACUCGUGCAAGCAUGCCUGAGAUGCUACAGUGAGCUCGGGGAGCCACUGGCUUGUCGCAGGUCCAUUAUCUAGCUCCUCCGUCCACAUUAAAAUCAGUGUCUUUGUAUAUGAUUUAAUUUUUGUAUGAGAAUUAUCCAUUGGGUAAGAAAUCGAGGGGCUGGAGAGAUGAUUCAGCAGUUUAGAGCACGUGUUGUUCCAGGUUCGAUUCCCAGCACCCACGUGUGGACUAAUAACCAUCUGCAAUUCCAGUUUCAGAAUAUCCACACCCUCUUCUGACUUCCUCAUGCUCCAGACACACACACACACACACACACACACACACACACACACACACUCAGUGCAUACAUGCAGGCAAAACA